rnacentral:lncRNA from 1 species
UUUACGUUGAGCAAGAGGCCUUUGAUAAGGAGAGUGUCGUUUUCUCGUCGCGGAUCAAAAGGUCAUUUGAAAAUGGGCAGCCCUGACGUUGCCUGAGAUUGAGUUGUAUUGUGCCCAGGUGGCGCUGUGUGCAAACCAGAUUAGUGAUUGGGAAGAUUUCAGUACUGAAAACCUUCAACUGUCAUUCUGUAAGAAUGCUUAGUUUUAAAUAUUUUGGUCCCCUUCAGGAACAAUGGCUCUCAGUGGCAUAACGGAGCUGUUACCUGGAGAUGUUCAUGUAAGUACUGUUGAGCUUAGUUUUUAAACUGAAGAAAUAAACCUGUUGAUUUACAGGAAAAGAUGGUGCAUCAUUUGAAAUUUGCUUCCCACUAGAUACAAAGGAAAACUAGAAAAUACGUGAGGGAAUAUUUGCUGGGAAAUUACUUGGUUGGAACCUGACCAUUUUACCCAGGUAUGUGUUGGGCUAAUAAUUUGACUGUUGGGCUACUUUGAUUCAGUGCGAUUAGUCCAUAUGUAGAUUAAAAUGAAAAUUUUUUUUGUCCUUGAACAGCAUCCUGGGAGUUGAUGAAUACUAACAGACCUACAAAUGUCACUGGCUAGCAACGUAAUUUUUAAAGUAAGUUGUGUGACUUACAAGAUCAACUAGUGUUUCUAAUGAAGUGCUUACCUCUUAAAGUUGCUUUGGCUUACAGUAAAUUUCACUGUAACAUAAUUUAGUGGUUUAUGGUCUUAUCAAUGAUGAAAUCUAUCCCGAAGCUGACCACCUGAAGAAAAACAUACGGAUUCGGCUUCUGAGAUAAGACUGAAGUUUUUAUAGUCUGGAUUUUAUAACUGAGAGGGUUCUGUUAGGUUAUAAAUCUUGUAGGGGGAGAACUGCUAACCCAAAAUGUGUUGUGGGUUUUUUUUUUUUUUUUUCUCUGCCAACAGUGAGGGGUCGCUGUCUUUCCAUUGAAAGAGGCCAGUUUGCUGUGACCUUCCUAAGAUGUAACCCGUUUCUGUGAGUAGAAAUUUUUUCCCUUAACAGUUCAUCAGUACUUUGUCCUUGGUCUUAAUCCAUGAUGAUCUUAUCCCGAACCUGAAUAUCUGUUGAGAAAACUUAUACGGAUCUGGCUUCUGAGAUAGACCAUUAUAAGGACAAUGAUAUUUUUAAAAAUUCUUUGGCUCUUUUGAUGUUGGUAGUCUUGUAAAUCUCAAAUGUUUUUCCUUUUCUAGGGUUAAUACCACCAGAUUUACUUGUGAAAAAUCGAUAAGGAAAAGCUCUUCAUUUAACUGACAUGGGAAGAAAACCUACAAAUCAAGACAAUAUUUUUUUAUUUCUGUAAACAGGUUAUGAAACUGCAUCAGAUUCAGAUUAAUGUAUUUGUAAGAUUUAAGCCAUUACUUUUUAUGUCAUACUGCCCUAGAGAAUCCUAACCUGUUAAGUAGAUUACUUUGUAGAUCUAUUUCUAUUUUAAAUACAGGAAUGCAAAGGAAGGUACAUAUUUUUAAUGGAGAAGUCUUUGAUUUCAGUUAACCAGACUUGUAAUCAGCUUAUUGUGAAUGUUUCACCUUUGGCCACCUGUUUGAAUUUAAAAUCUACAAUUGUAAUUAAAGCUGAGUGAAAAUUUACACUGAAUAUUGUGGAAAAGUCCUUAGAUUUUUAUGGAGAGAUGACUCAUUUUGGCAGUAUCACACGGUACAGAUCAUGUUGGGUUUUGUAGCGUACUGAAUAUUACCGGAUUAGUGGUGAGCAAAACGGAAAGACUGAGUCUAUUACUGGGGGAGGGGAAAAUACCAGGUGUUACUGGUUCUAAUUACUGAAUUCUGGAAUGUUUGGUCCUAAUGAAUUACAGUUUGAAAGGAUGCUUAAGAUGGAAAAUGUGAGGGACACCUUGGUGGCUCAGUAAAACAUCUCAGCUCCUCCAUGCUGGGCAUGAAACCUAAAAGAUGGGAAAAUGUGGAAUGCUGAAAAUGAAGAGAGCACAGCAUGACAACGGGUCAUGGGGGAAGUUCACUGAUAAAACCAAACAUUGCAUAGAAUGGAUUUAGUGUAGACAGUAAUAGCAUCUGAUCUAACCAAGAUGGUUUGGCCCCAUGCAUGAUCAUUUUCCCUAAAUAGCUACAUGAAUAAAUUGUUGCUAAGCCUAUACUUCAGUGUUAGUCAAAAGAAUAUUCUUGUCAGCUUAUGAUUAUGAACUACCUUUUUUCCUAAAAUGUUUUCUUAGUGAAAAUACGUUGGACCCAUGUAGUUUAAGAGGCUCAGUGACAACCAUGCCAUUUAGUGGGUAGGUACAUAGUAGAUUUGCUCAUGUAUUGCAAUGGUGUACAAAAUGCACCUUGGAAAAUGUAUAUUGAAGCCAUAUUAAAAUAGGUAUUAAUGCUGUCAGACUUCAAAUAAUCUGGGUCUCCACACACUUAUAUGGUAGGUGCAAGGAAUUCCACAGUGGCCAUACAGUCAAGAGAACAUAUAGAAUGAACUGUAAGUCUGCAGGAAAUAACCAUGCUUUAUAUGGAUUAUUCAUAGGAAGCAAGAGUUCCCUAAACUGAGACACCAAGGUGUGGUCCCCUUAAUGCAAAGGCCUUAAGGCUUGCUAAAAUCCAGCAAAGGGAAAAGCCACUUGGUAUAACAGAUUACAUGUGUAAUGGGAUUUUGCUAUAUUAACAAAAGAAAAGUGAUUGGGGUCUGUACAACCUUUUCAAGAAACUGUACCCUUUUUGACAAAGCUGGCACCUCACUUCAAAACAAGUUGUGAAAUAGAUAAAAUUUGCUUUGGAGCACUCUGACCUCUUCCUGCAAUUUCUAUUGUUGCUCCUUACCCUCUCAAUUGAUCUGGUAAUAUGUCACAUGUCUUUAGUUUAUUAUAAUGUGCAUUUUAUGGAUUGCAGUGUUACUGGGCUCUGCUAAGGAGGUUAGAAGUAAAACACUUCCUAUGUCCUCAUUUUGUUAAUAGCGACAUGAAAUGCCAAGAAAACCAAAGGCAGGCUAUAAAGAAAGUGAGAGAAAAAAUGUCUUGAGAUUGAAGAAGUGGAUUUGAGUCAAAACCAUCUCAGAUGAGAUGUGAGAAAGAUAACAUUUUUGGCAUAAACACUUGGAGCAAAGAUUAUAUGCUCCAGGACCUCAGAAUGAUGAAUUUGAAAUUUAGGUAUCAAUUGUGUGGUUAGAUGUAGGACAAACAAGGUAGAAGAUAGGCUGAAAUGUUUUGGGGUGACA